rnacentral:misc_RNA from 1 species
GAUGAAGAACGCAGCGAAAUGCGAUAAGUAGUGUGAAUUGCAGAAUUCAGUGAAUCAUCGAAUCUUUGAACGCACAUUGCGCCCUUUGGUAUUCCGGGGGGCAUGCCUGUCCGAGCGUCAUUACAACCCUCAAGCUCAGCUUGGUGUUGGGCCCCGCCGCCCCGGCGGGCCCUAAAGUCAGUGGCGGUGCCGUCCGGCUCCGAGCGUAGUAAUUCUUCUCGCUCUGGAGGUCCGGUCGUGUGCUCGCCAGCAACCCCCAAUUUUUUUCAGGUUGACCUCGGAUCAGGUAGGGAUACCCGCUGAACUUAAGCAUAUCAAUAAGCGGAGGA